rnacentral:lncRNA from 1 species
CACGAAUCACUCCACGCCAUCAUCACAUCGACCACCAAAGAGUUCGUCUUGUUUAGUUUAUAUAUUUAAGCCUUUCAUUGGAAGAGACUAGAGAGAGAGAGCAUUUUUCGGUUUAAGACUUUAGAGAGAGAGAGAGAGAGAGAGAGAGAGAGAGAGAGAGAGAGAGAGCAUAAACCAGUUACCCAUAAGCCAUGAUAUGUGAAAGUGCUUUUCCAACGUAGAAAGCAGAAGUUAAAGUUAAGAAAGCACUCUCUGCUUCAGCUUCAGUUUCUUUAUUAAUUAUAUCC